AGCAGCCGCGGUAAUUCCAGCUCCAAUAGCGUAUAUUAAAGUUGCUGCAGUUAAAAGCUCGUAGUUGAAUUUCGGGACCAUCAUGUUGGUCGUGCCUCGGUACGUACUGGUAUUGUUGGUUUCUCCCUUCUGACGAACCAUGAUGUCAUUUAUUUGGUGUUGUGGGGAAUCAGGACUGUUACUUUGAAAAAUUAGAGUGUUUAAAGCAGGCUCACGCUUGAAUACAUUAGCAUGGAAUAAUGAAAUAGGACGUUUGAUUCUAUUUUGUUGGUUUCUAGGAUCGACGUAAUGAUUAAUAGGGAUAGUUGGGGGCAUUAGUAUUCAAUUGUCAGAGGUGAAAUUCUUGGAUUUAUUGAAGACUA
rnacentral:rRNA from 1 species